rnacentral:tRNA from 1 species
GGGGAUCUAGCUCAGUUGGUAGAGUGCUUGUCUCACAUGCACAAGGGCCUGGGUUCAAUCCCCAGCACCA